UACCAGCUCCUCGAGUGGUCGGGACGAUUAUUGGGCCUAAAGCACCCGUAGCCGGUUUCGUAAGUCCUCUGUUAAAUCCAGUCGCUCAACGACUGGCCUGCAGAGGAUACUGCGGGACUAGGAGGCGGGAGAGGCGGACGGUACUCCGCGUGUAGGGGUAAAAUCCUUUGAUCCGCGGAAGACCACCAGUGGCGAAGGCGGUCCGCCAGAACGCGCUCGACGGUGAGGGGUGAAAGCUGGGGGAGCGAACCGG
rnacentral:rRNA from 1 species